AUUGAACGCUGGCGGCAGGCCUAACACAUGCAAGUCGAACGAGUGGCGGAAGGGUGAGUAAUGUCUGGGAAACUGCCUGAUGGAGGGGGAUAACUACGAGAAACGGUAGCUAAUACCGCAUACAAUCGGAUGUGCUCAGAUGGGAUUAGCUAGUAGGUGGGGUAAAGGCUCGCCUAGGCGUCGCUCCCUAGCUGGUCUGAGAGGAUGACCAGCCACACUGGGACUGAGACACGGUCCAGACUCCUACGGGAUGCGGCAGUGGGGAAUAUUGCGCAAUGGGCGGAAUCCUGAUCCAGCCGUGCCGCGUGUAUGAAGAAGGCCGUCGGGUUGUAAAGUACUGUCGGCGGGGAGGCGUUGCGCGGAGAAGAAGCACCGGCUAACUCCGUGGCAGCCGGCGCGGUAAUUC
rnacentral:rRNA from 1 species